GACGUAGGGCGCAAGCGUUGUCCGGAUUUAUUGGGCGUAAAGAGCUCGUAGGCGGCCUGUCGCGUCGACCGUGAAAACCCGCAGCUCAACUGCGGGCUUGCGGUCGAUACGGGCAGGCUGGAGUUCGGUAGGGGAGACUGGAAUUCCUGGUGUAGCGGUGGAAUGCGUAGAUAUCGGGAAGAACACCAGUGGCGAAGGCGGUUGCCUGGAGCUUUGCUGACGCUGAGGCGCGAAAGCGUGGGGAGCGAUCCGG
rnacentral:rRNA from 1 species